rnacentral:rRNA from 1 species
GUGAGGAAUAUUGGUCAAUGGACGAGAGUCUGAACCAGCCAAGUCGCGUGAAGGAAGACGGUUCUAUGAAUUGUAAACUUCUUUUGUGCAGGAAUAAAGUGGGUUACGUGUAACCUUUUGUAUGUACUGUACGAAUAAGGAUCGGCUAACUCCGUGCCAGCAGCCGCGGUAAUACGGAGGAUCCGAGCGUUAUCCGGAUUUAUUGGGUUUAAAGGGUGCGUAGGUGGAUUGAUAAGUCAGCGGUGAAAGUUUGCAGCUUAACUGUAAAAUUGCCGUUGAAACUGUCGGUCUUGAGUGCAAAUGAGGUAGGCAGAAUGUGUUGUGUAGCGGUGAAAUGCUUAGAUAUAACACAGAACUCCGAUUGCGAAGGCAGCUUACUGGGAUGCAACUGACACUGAUGCACGAAAGCGUGGGUAUCAAACAGGAUUAGAAACCCGUGUAGUCC